UAGCCUAAUGGUUAAGGCUAUGGAUCGCCAAUCCAGAGACGGCGGGUUCGAUUCCCGU
rfam:Aedes albopictus isolate Foshan contig127238, whole genome shotgun sequence.